CUACGUAGGUGGCGAGCGUUGUCCGGAUUUACUGGGUGUAAAGGGCGCGUAGGCGGGGAUGCCAGUCAGAUGUGAAAUCCAUGGGCUUAACCCAUGAACUGCAUUUGAAACUGUGUCUCUUGAGUGUCGGAGAGGUAGAUGGAAUUCCUAGUGUAGCGGUGAAAUGCGUAGAUAUUAGGAGGAACACCAGUGGCGAAGGCGAUCUCCUGGAAGAAAACUGUAGCUUAGGCGCGAAAGCGGGGGGAGCAAACAGGAUUAGAUACCCUGGUGAUCCACGCCGUAAACGAUAAAUACUAGGGGUGUGGGGACUGAACCCCUCCAUGCCGCAGUUAACACAAUAAGUAUUCCACCUGGGGAGUACGGCCUCAAGGUGGAAACUCAAAUGAAUUGACGGGG
rnacentral:rRNA from 1 species